rnacentral:rRNA from 1 species
CAAUAGCGUAUAUUAAAGUUGUUGCAGUUAAAAAGCUCGUAGUUGGAUUUCUGGCAGGAGCGACCGGUCACACACUCUGUGUGUGAACUUGCGUUGUCUCUGGCCAUCCUUGGGAAGAUCCUGUUUGGCAUUAAGUUGUCGGGCAGGGGAUACCCAUCGUUUACUGUGAAAAAAUUAGAGUGUUUAAAGCAGGCUUAUGCCGUUGAAUAUAUUAGCAUGGAAUAAUAAGAUAGGACUUCGGAACUAUUUUGUUGGUUUGCGUUACGAAGUAAUGAUUAAUAGGGACAGUUGGGGGUAUUCGUAUUUCGUUGUCAGAGGUGAAAUUCUUGGAUUUCCGAAAGACGAACUACUGCGAAAGCAUUUACCAAGGAUGUUUACAUUAA